rfam:Sorghum bicolor cultivar BTx623 chromosome 8, whole genome shotgun sequence.
AUUCCAUGAUGAGGACAGGCCCGGAUGUACUCCUGGAGCCUCUCCCAUGCUUCGGGUAUGGACUCAAGUGAAGACUGCUGGAAGUUAGAGAUCUUUCCCCUCAGAGC